rnacentral:rRNA from 1 species
UACGUAGGUGACCAGCGUUGUCCGGAUUUACUGGGCGUAAAGAGCGCGCAGGCGGUCGUUCAAGUCGAGUGUGAAAGCCCCCGGCUCAACUGGGGAGGGUCACUCGAUACUGAUCGACUUGAAGGCAGGAGAGGGAAGCGGAAUUCCCGGUGUAGUGGUGAAAUGCGUAGAUAUCUGGAGGAAUACCGGUGGCGAAGGCGGCAUCCUGGACCGACAUUGACGCUGAACGGCGAAAGCUAGGGGAGCAAACGGG